AGUGAACGCUGGCGGUAGGCCUAACACAUGCAAGUCGAACGGCAGCACAGUAAGAGCUUGCUCUUACGGGUGGCGAGUGGCGGACGGGUGAGGAAUACAUCGGAAUCUACUUUUUCGUGGGGGAUAACGUAGGGAAACUUACGCUAAUACCUCAUACGACCUACGGGUGAAAGCAGGGGAUCUUCGGACCUUGCGCGAUUGAAUGAGCCGAUGUCGGAUUAGCUAGUUGGCGGGGUAAAGGCCCACCAAGGCGACGAUCCGUAGCUGGUCUGAGAGGAUGAUCAGCCACACUGGAACUGAGACACGGUCCAGACUCCGACAGGAGGCAGCAGUGGGGAAUAUUGGACAAUGGGCGCAAGCCUGAGCCAGCCAUACCGCGUGGGUGAAGAAGGCCUUCGGGUUGUAAAGCCCUUUUGUUGGGAAAGAAAAGCAGCAGGUUAAUACCCCGCUGUUCUGACGGUACCCAAAGAAUAAGCACCGGCUAACUUCGUG
rnacentral:rRNA from 1 species